AUGACUGCUUUGACAAGAUCUAUCUUUAGUUAUAAUAGUGAGUCACAUCAUUGUGAUCCGACUUUACGGUUAGUUUGAGGUAUGAGCCAGGCCAUGGGAUUGAGAGCGAGAGCAUCACGGGAUGCAGCUGUAAAAUUCCACUACUCUCUAAAUCAGUGGAAAAUUAUUGCAGCGCGCGGCGCAUCGUGAUGCAGCUCAUCAGCGCGGCGGAGGAGACGUCUCGGCAGGCGGAUCCUGAGCAGAGCAGGCACCUCUUCCCGCACCGCCCGGGCUGUGCAAAGCGUCACGUCGAGCCCACCCCGCCAGCCACCACGAGCGAAUGUAGGAUUUUCGUGGCUGGUGCCGUGUCUCCUAGCAACAUUGCUAGGCAGCACGCUAUAUAUCACACCCGGCGCCGGCUACUACGGUAUAGUGGGGCCGUUCCCAGCUCUUUUUCUUGGCUAUAAAAUAUUAAUUUUCUGCUCGCAAAGGGGAGGCAGCACCUGCGGGUCAAGAGGCGCUCCCUCCCGGGUGGACGCGUGCAGCUCCUGUUGGCUGUCACAGGAAUCACGAGCAACCCCAGGCUGGGCUGAGCUCCUGGUAUGUAAAAUGUGGGUGUGAUUCCUGAGAUAUAAACACUUUCCGUGCCUGAGGUGGGGUACAGGCUGGCUUUGGAAUGAAUAAAUACAUAAAUAACCAGGCAGUGAAGAUUAUCUCCCCCCUCCCCUCUUUCCUUCUUUGACUCAUAUAAGCAGAUCCUGAUGCGAGGACCACGUUUGUGUACACAAAGAGAGGGAAAUUUCACCGACAUUUGGAGAUUUUUUUUUUGAGGCUCCUCCACACCAGGGCACUGUGGAUGAGAGCCCGUAUCACAAAUGCUGGUGAUGAUUUUCUAGAUUGAUGGGUGUGAUUUCAGCAGAGACUGCCUGCCAAGCCCCCUCCCCGAAAUGAUUGCAUAACCCAGCUGUUGCAUGCGCAAAAAAAAAAAAAA